rnacentral:rRNA from 1 species
UACGGGGGGGGCAAGCGUUGUUCGGAAUUACUGGGCGUAAAGGGCGCGUAGGCGGUUCGUCACGUCGGGAGUGAAAACUCGGGGCUUAACCCCGAGCCUGCUUCCGAUACGGGCAGACUAGAGGUAGGCAGGGGAGAGCGGAAUUCCUGGUGUAGCGGUGAAAUGCGCAGAUAUCAGGAGGAACACCGGUGGCGAAGGCGGAUCUCUGGGCCUUGCCUGACGCUGAGGCGCGAAAGCUAGGGGAGCGAACAGG